rnacentral:rRNA from 1 species
AGUGGAUGGGGAGCAACCUAGUUGUGCGUGUGUAAAGGUAGUGCCAAGAAAAGCGAUGAUCAUGUUGAAAAUCAAUUCCCGGUACCCGAAACCGACACAGGUGGGCAAGUAGAGAAUACUAAGGGGCGCGAGGUAACUCUCUCCAAGGAACUCGGCAAAAUGACCCCGUAACUUAGGGAGAAGGGGUGCCACCGAGAGGUGGUCGCAGUGAAGAGGCCCAGGCGACUGUUUAGCAAAAACAUAGGUCUCUGCAAACUCGAAAGAGGAGGUAUAGGGGCUGACGCCUGCCCAGUGCCGGAAGGUUAAAGAAGUUGGUCAGUCUUAGGAUGAAGCUAGCGACUGAAGCCCCGGUGAACGGCGGCCGUAACUAUAACGGUCCUAAGGUAGCGAAAUUCCUUGUCGGGUAAGUUCCGACCCGCACGAAAGGCGUAACGAUCUGGGCGCUGUCUCGGAGAGAAGCUCGGCGAAAUAGGAUUGUCUGUGAAGAUACGGACUACCUGCAUUUGGACAGAAAGACCCUAUGAAGCUUUACUAUAGCUUGGAAUUGUGUUCGGGCUUCCUGUGCGCAGGAUAGGUGGGAGGCGUAGAAGGUAUUCUUGUGGGGAUACUGGAGCCAACGGUGAGAUACCACUCUCAGGAGGCUAGAAUUCUAACUUAAUUAAGGACAGUUUCAGGUGGGUAGUUUGACUGGGGCGGUCGCCUCCAAAAAGGUAACGGAGGCGUACAAAGGUUCCCUCAGACUGGUUGGAAAUCAGUCGAAGAGUGCAAAGGCAGAAGGGAGCUUGACUGCGAGAAGUACAGUUCGAGCAGGGUGGAAACACGGUCUUAGUGAUCCGACGGUGCUGUGUGGAAGGGCCGUCGCUCAACGGAUAAAAGUUACUCUAGGAUAACAGGCUGAUCUCCCCCAAGAGUUCACAUCGACGGGGAGGUUUGGCACCUCGAUGGCGGCUCAUCGCAACCUGGGGCGGAAGUACGUCCCAAGGGUUGGGCUGUUCGCCCAUUAAAGCGGUACGUGAGCUGGGUUCAGAACGUCGUGAGACAGUUCGGUCCAUAUCCGAUGUAGGCGUGAGAAUAUUGAGAGGAGCCUUCCUUAGUACGAGAGGACCGGGAAGGACGCACCGCUGGUGUACCUGUUAUGAUGCCAAUUGUAAACGCAGGGUAGCCAAGUGCGGAGAGGAUAACCGCUGAAAGCAUCUAAGUGGGAAGCCCACCUCAAGAUGAGUAUUCUGGUGUAAGGUCACGGGAAGACGACCCGUAAAUAGGCACGAGGUGGAAGUGCAGAGAUGUAUGAAGCCGAAGUGUACUAAUAGACCGUCGGCUUGACC